UAUUGAGUACUGACAUACUACGGGCAUCGAAUGAAUUGUGAGCAAAGGUCAGCCAGUGUUUCUGGUAGUUGUGCCGACGUCGGCGGAGUACUUACUACCUAUUAGUAUAUUACGGGCUAUAGUUAUUUACAAAUUUUAAAGCACUACAUUAUAAUAUACAGAUAAACUAAAAAAAAAAUUUAAAUUAUUGUUUAUACAUAUUAAUAAUUAUUUUUCAUUUUUAGCGGAAAAAAGCUGCAGAGAAAAGGGUCAAUAUUAUUUUGGCCUAAAAGCAAGCGUUAGUGUUACUCUCAAUGACGAGGUACUUUGAACAGCCGCUAAAAUUUAACACAUAAUACUGGGAUGUUGGACACUCGUCUCGCUUCACUCACCUCGACCGAAGCCAAUAUUUUAUUAUUAAACAUUUUAAAGCAAUGUGAUAAAUCACGGCAUUCGAAAAACGAUUCUGAGCAGAGCCCGAUUUACUAUGCAGAUGUUUCCCUCAUCAGUGGCAUAGGCCAUAGGCGCAUGUCGCAUGGCUACAGGCUAGGCGUUUCCGAUAAGAGAGGGAAUGAUUAUUUAUGAAUAAUCAUUACAUUUAAUCGAAUUUCGAGAAACGCUUACAUUUUAUAGAAGUUAUAAAUUGUUAAUAUACUUUUUAUCCGUGUACUAAGAUAUAUAUAGCGUCAGUCACAGUCUAGACGCCGCAGCAUCAAGACACAUCGGGAAAACGUAUUGAUACGGUUUGAAGAAAUCACUGAUAACUGAUUACAUACAAAUUUACAAAUAUAUAAGUACCAUAAUACUAUAGUAUAGUACCAAAUUUGAUAAGGUUUUUAUACGUGAUUUGCAUAGCUAAUAUUAAAUGCAUAUAGACAUACAGACCAUACAGUUUUGUACAGAACAGGCGCACGGAUCCAAAAUAUAUAUACAGAGUGGGAAAAGGUGGGGCUAUCGCCCCUAACCCCUCCUUGGACUCACGGCUGGUACAGAACAUAUUAAUCAUAUUUUAGUAAGGCAUAUUGAACAUAAUACUCAAAAACUAAAAUUACGAGAAUAAUAAUUGUUUCUUGGAUAUAGCGCAGAAAAUUAGUAUUGCAAGCAACUUCGUAUGAUUUUGAUUUUGAGGAGAAAGAAAUGUUUUGUGAAUUUCAAAAUUAUUCUUGUGUAUUCACGGGCAUGGCUUAAAUAACUUGUAAAAACAAAUUUACAAAAUCAUUUACUACGAUAAUAUAAUAUAAAGUCAUUUAAAUAAUACGAUUGUCGUUUACAAUGAAUGGAUAUAUAACUUCUAACCUCCCUCCCACUGAGCACCCUGCUGGUUUCCUUAUACGGAUAUAGCGCUAUACAUUAUAUCAUAUAUAAAUAUAAAUAUAUUAUUUAGACCUACAUUUUAGUCUAUAAUUUAUAAUAUUAUUUUUCUGUUGGAUGGGAGUAAUAGGAUUUUCAUAUUUGUAAAUUAUAUUCAAUACAAGUUAUAGCCUGUAAAGUAGUAGGCGAGAAUAAAAUAUACAUUUUUUCUACACAAUUUAUAUUAAACUUUGCAUUGCCGUGGGGGACAAACUACAAAGUUCCACCCCAUCUCCAAAGUAUAUUAAACCAUAAUAUACAUAGACAUCAAUUAUUUAGUUUCUAUUUUUCAUUAUUUUUAUCUUCAGAUAAUAUUACAUUAAA